rnacentral:piRNA from 1 species
UAAGAGUGCGGUGGGCACGUUCCACAAUGC